GCAGUCGAGGAUCUUUUGCAAUGGGCGAAAGCCUGACAAUGCGACGCCGCGUGAGGGAUGAAGGUUUUCGGAUCGUAAACCUCUGUCUUAGGGGGAUGAUGGCUUUUUGGGUUAAUAACCUAAAAGGUUGACAGUACCCUUGAAGGAAGCCACGGCUAACUCCGUGCCAGCAGCCGCG
rnacentral:rRNA from 1 species